rnacentral:rRNA from 1 species
AUCAAAAACAUAGUUUAGUGUGAUGUAUACUAGAUAAGUUCUGCUCAAUGAUUAUUUUAAAUAGCCGCAGUACCCUGACUGUGCUAAGGUAGCAUAAUAAGUUGGCUUUUAAUUGAAGUCUAGUAUGAACGGAAUUCAAUGGGUGAUAGCUGUCUUUUUUGGUGUCCUUAAAACUUACUUAUAAGGUGAAAAUUCCUUAACUAUAGAAGAAAGACGAGAAGACCCUUAGAAUUAUUAUUAAAGUUUCAGUUUGGAGUUGUUUUUUUGUUGGGGCGACAGUGUAACAAAAAUAACUUACUUUUGAUUUUUUUUACAUGUAAGUAGUGACCAGUUAGAUUUAAUUACCUAAGGGAUAACAGCGUAAUCUGUUGUUAGGUUUGCGACCUCGAUGUUGGAUUAGGGAACAUUAUGGUUAGCAACUAUGAUGCAAAGUUCUGUUCGAACUUUUAUAUCCUACAUGAUCUGAGU